UCCUCAUGGGUAUAUUCAGGUUCAUUACCACUAAGCCACAAUGGAACUCCUGUCCAGUUGAUUUUAAAAGCCUUCUCCUUAGGGGGUUUCUCUUGUAUGCCAUCAAAUUCUCAUACACUGACCCUAUUUUCAAAGGUUAAUUAUUGUAUCAUAACCUCUGCUUCCAUAAACAGAGAUUUUUUUUGGUUCGUUUCCUCUAAUAGAGCAUAAUAGAGAGUUGAGAUUUAUUUGGCAUAAAAGAAAGGGCCUUUAUCCGUAAUCCUAGGGAAUGUUACUCUAAUUUUCCUAUUUGAGUUUUCCGUAGUCUUGUUUAUUUUGGUUUACAGGUAAAUUACACACCUAAUUCAUUCCUAGAGAAUGGAUGAUCAAUAAGCUACUAGAUCAGAAAUUUCUGAAUACAUUUCUGACCUGAUACCUAUACCUAAAACUUUCUUCUCUUCUUUUUUAAUUAAUUUCUUUCUCUAUUAGACCCUGUUCAAAUAGUAGAAUCUCUCUUUUUAUCAUUAACAUGUGGAAAAGAUCCACUAAAGUGAUUUUUAGGAAAUACAGGUACAAUCCCCAAAAAUAUAUUUCCCUAGUGUAUUUCUCCUAAUGAAUCAAAGUGUUUUAUCUAAUCUAUAUUUGAAUAUAUGUGUGAUGCUACAUAUUUUGUGGGAUAUAAGCAUGACAGUGUUCUAUUAUCCUAAGUCUUUAAACCUCUUCUUAUAUAUCAUGCCAAGACAGGAUGAACUUCAGGAACACUUAACCUGUGUAAUCACACAGGGACAUGAAUUUAGAAGGCACUCACAACUGGUAUAAUGUUCUGCUGCCCAAGAAACAAGCAGUAUGCACGUUAGCAAAUUAUGCAUGUAUGAUAUUCAUAUUCUCUGAUCCUGUCUCCCCAUUUGCAUAUAAUAUUUUUGGUGGUCCUUGAGCACAACAUUCCAGGUGACCCACAAUCCGUGAGAAUCAACAAGAUUCAAAGGAAGUAUAAGGAUCCUAUCUGGAGAACCUAGGAGAGUAGAGGGAAAAAAUAUUUCCUCCCCUAAACAUGAAAGUACACCAGACAGAAGAACACAGCUCCAAGACGUUUUCCAAAGUAGAGUGGCAUCUGCACUUUCUCCCAUACACUGUGCCCAUAAAGUGGUCAUGCCUGAAGGCAUGUGAAGUUUCUGGGCCAAGUAUCAAACCUGUGCUACAGUAGCAACCCAAGCUGCUGCAUGGACAACACCAUAUCCUGCUGCACCACAGGAGAACUCCUAAAAUCUAUGAAUUACUUUUUAAAUUCCUUAGCAAUAUAAAAUAGGCAUGUAACAUAAUGACAUUAAUAGAUACUGAUUUGGUAUGUUUCUUUGCAAAAAACUCAUCUGGCAGGUGUGUAACCUCUUCCUUGACUGCUUUAGAAUAUCUAAAACCCGAUUGCCCUUGCCAACUAGCAUCAAUUACAGCUUUUUGCGAAAGCAAGAAAAGCGUUGUAAACCAUAAAAUUGAGACUAAAAUGCAAACUAUUUACAUGUGUUCACCCCCUUUUCUCACAGCUACUUUCCUGCAUGUUCCCACAGAGAUCUCCUCAAUUACAUAAUGCUGAUGUUCUUUCUCUAGCCUCUCAGAGCUUGGUAUUACUGCUUUCUAUCCCUGUAAAACUAUUCUCCACCUUCUUUGCCUGGCUAACUCCUUUUUUAUCUUAAGAGUUUAAUGUGUGUGUGUGUACAUAUGUAUGUGUGUAUACACAUACAUAUAUAUACAUAUAUUUUGUGAAUCCUUUAAAUGACUGCCAGGUAUCUUCCCCCCUGAACCAAAAGGUCCAUAGACCAUAACUCUGCUAUAUGAUCUCUACUUCCCAGGCACUUCGGAGUAAUUUCCUACUAACCAUACCAUGUUUACCACUGAAAUAAUUCCUACUAGUGCAUUAACUAGUGGUCAACAAAUGUAUACAUGGCUUACUCUAAUUCUUUAUCUGUCAUAUGGAAAUAUAUGGCCAAUGAUCCCUACAUUUAAUUAGUUAUUUUUUACAAAACAACACAGCAGAACAAUAAUUAAUAGAUAAAGAUAUUCAUGUAAAUUUUGAGGGUGUAAUAAAAUACAAAAUUAAUUUAAACUAAAAUAUAACAUUGAAAAUGAGUAAUAGUAUACCUCAUAGGCCAUGCUAACAUACUUAGCAUGUUAGUCACUACUUUCAUUUGAGCUAAGACAGAGGAGAAGGUAGCUGACUAAGAAGAUGCUCUGAAAUGGCUAUUUUACUUAUUCCCUCUCACUAGUCUUCCCCUAAUAUAAAGCUACCAGUUUGGCCUGCACUUAAGGCAUUCCAAAAAGUAGCACUGAGGAAAAGAAAUAAGAAACAUACUACUCUAAAUCUAGGAAGAAUUAGGAAAGAAAUCAGAGAUUAUUUAGGAACAGUCAGGAAUCACUCAAGUCUGCUUUUUGUGGUAUCUAUGCUUUUUAUCCAGUUAUACUUUUAAUCAAAAAGUGAACAUUCAGAGAAUUGAGGUGGAUAGAAAGAAAAAAGAAAGGCUUUUACUUUUGAACAAAACUAAUUAAUACUAUAAGAAUUACAAUUGAUAGUAAGUAAUGUACGUAUGAAAAAUAUGAUAGAGUGAAAUAUAUCAUCUACCUCCUAAUUUUAUAGAGCUUGGAAAAUAUUCAUUAGAUAAUCAGUUUGAAAACCAUUAUACCCUAAUAGCAUUAUCUUAUUAAGUCCACAUAGCUAGCAACUCUACUAGUUCUGCAUUAAUAUGAACAUUUGUAAUGAUUUUCAUAUUAUAUAGGACAAUAUCUUCUAAUCUUACUAUUAAAAAGGAGCAUAAUCCUUGGUGUUUAAGACAAUCCAUAGACAGGUUUGGGAAUAGAUAACAACCAUUACUUAUUUGUUUUAUUCUUAUUACUGUUAUCUUUUUAAAAUUCUGCAUAUUCUGAGGCUUAGGGUGAUUAUAUGAAAGUUUAAGAAAAAAAAAAGGUGAUAUAGUCAAAAUUUUAACACUAUUCUCUUUGUCCUGCUUUCCAUUAAAUUAUAAGGUGUUUAUAAUUUUUCAAAACUGAAUAAAAAAUGAAUGCUUAUAUGUUUACUUUAAGCAUGUUUGUUACUAACAAGUCUUCCUAUUUUACUUACCACAAUACAGAUCAGACUACAUUUUUUCUCGCCAAUUAAUUUCAAUGACUUGGCUUAUUCUAUAUUUUUUCCAAUGUAAAAUGCUAAAUGCAGAGACAAAAUAUAAAGCCUAUCAGGCAAUAUUGAAAUGAUUUAGCUCAUCAAAAUAAAAUUAAAUAAUACUGAGACAUAGAAUCAUAGAAAUAUUAAAU